rnacentral:rRNA from 1 species
CCUACGGGUGGCAGCAGUGGGGAAUAUUGCACAAUGGGGGAAACCCUGAUGCAGCAACGCCGCGUGAGUGAGGAAGUAUUUCGGUAUGUAAAGCUCUAUCAGCAGGGAAGAGAAUAGCGGGUACCUGAAAAAGAGGCCCCGCCUAACUACGUGCCAGCGGCCGCGGUAUACGGUAGGGGGCAAGCGUUAUCCGGAUUGACUGGGGGUAAAGGGAGCGUAGACGGUAAGGCAAGUCAGAAGUGAAAACCCAGGGCUCAACCAAGGGACUGCUUUUGAAACUGUCCAACUCGAGUACGGGAGAGGUAAGAGGAAUUCCUAGUGUAGCGGUGAAAUGCGUAGAUAUUAGGAGGAACACCAGGGGCGAAGGCGUCUUACUGGACCGAAACUGACGUUGAGGCUCGAAAGCGUGGGGAGCAAACAGGAUUAGAUACCCCGGUAGUC